GGCCUCCCAAAGUGCUGGGAUUACAGGCUUGAGCCACUCGCCCGGCUGAGUUUGACCAGAUUAAGGCAGCAUCUCCAGUGGCACCUGAGCAGCUCCUGAGAUGCUUUUCUGUGCUAAAUCUGGAUUUGGGGUAUUAAAUCAAAUGAAUUUGAAAUGCAGGCACAGCUGGCCCCAUGGGCAUGGACCUGUGCAGUCACACCUUGCCCCGUGUUCAGAAGGGUGCUGUGCCUGUUUUAAUGCUCUGCUGUUGCUCUCUUGAGAUUCUUAAUAAUUUUUGAACAAAGGGCCCCACAUACUCAUUUUGUACUGGGUACUGCAUAUUAUGUAGCUAGUCUUGAAUCUAGGACAGUGCAUUAAAAUGCCAUUGAUUGGAUCAAUCUGCUCUUGCAACUGAUUUGAAUUUUGGGAACAUGCUGUUUCCUGUGAAUAAAGGAGGAUUCAUUUCUUUUCCCUCGAAUACACUGCGUUCUGUUUUCCAAAUUAGCUCUACGUAUCAACUCAGCUGAGAAAUUGGAAGCGGGGAUUGUUCUGGCUGGAAGGGAAGGUUAGAUUGUUAAUCCUGCAUCCUGGCCCUGAUCUCACCGAGUGUGAAGCAUGUUCCCACAAUGGUGUGGGCUGCGGGGGGCUGGAGGCUGGCUGAGAAGGUGGGGACCAAGGAGGGAGGCUAGCCUGGGAGCCAGACAGAUGGGGUUAGGCUCUUGCUUUUGCCACUCGCCAGCUCUGAGGCUUAGGGCAACAUGAUUUAAUUCUCUGAUCCUUGUUUUUUUCAUCUUUCUGUAGACUGGUGAUGAGAUGCACCCUGCAGGCUUGCAGGCUUGCAGGAGUAAUUAAAGUAACAUGACAUAUUGGAGAAUAAUGACUGAAGCUUAUCUACACUGCCUACGUCUGUUUUCUUCCACCUUGAAAGAAGUUGUUGAAAGUAAUUAAGAAGUAUUAUGUGUAAAACUCCAGGGAUGAUGUGCUUCAAGGAAGCAACAUUUAUGAAGUUGUGUGCUUGACUAGUAGUUUAUAAAGAGGAAAGACGAAUCAUUUAUUGUCUUGGGAUUGAAUCUUGGCAAUUUUUAAACUAUAAAGUUACAGGAAAUGUUGGCUGCUCUUAAUGGGCCAUUUGUUGUGUUAAAAAUCAGUAAUGAGAAAUAUUUACUAGGUAAGUGGAAAGAUCCAUCUCUAUAAAUUGUUGUAACUUACCAUUUUACAAAUCUUAGUUACUCAGUUUUUCUGCUUAAAAAUGAAAUCAUGUAGCACUGUAUAAGUCAUUCAGUUUUUUAUUUUGGAGAAUUACUCUGGAUUGUCUAGGCUCUGUGCUCUCCACAUAUAUUUUUGAAAUAGUUUGUGAAUUUCUACAAAAACUCCUGCUCAGAAUUUUCACUGAGAGUAUGCUUAAUCUAUGGGUUAAUUUGUGAGAAAUUGAUAGCUUAACAAUAGUGAAUCUUCUGAUCUACAAGUGUGGUAUUUCUCUCCAUUUAUUUAGGUCUUCUUUAUUUUGAUAGCGUUUUGUAGCUUUCAAUGUACAGAUCUUGCAAAUAUCUUGUUAAAUAUUUCCCUAAUUACUUGAUAUUUAUUUUUGAUGCUGUUAUAGUUAUAUUUUAAAAAUUUUGAUUCCAAUUGUUGCUAAUACAUAGAAAUGAAAUUAUUUAUUGACCUCUUAUCCUGUGACAUUGAUAAACGCAGUCAUAUAUUCGUAGAUUUCUAGAAUUUUUCUAUAUAGACUAUCAUAUAUAUCAUCUGCAAAUAAAGACGGUUUUACAUUUUCCUU
rnacentral:lncRNA from 1 species